UUCAAUUUUUAUUUUCGAAAAUCCUUUUUGCCCAAAGGGCCGGACCGCCGCAAUGUCCAAGUUGUUUUCCUGCAAAUUCAACGUUUCGGCUUGAAGAUAGUCUUACGUUGAAACUUUUUCCUGAAAAAGAGCGGCGUUUCAACUCAGAAACGACCCGAAGGCGUUGAUUUCUUACGGUCCUUAUCGGUGCCCGUGUGUGUAUAUAGUAAUGUAAUAGUAUAAGCUUUUCUCAGCAACUGACUUGCACAGUAAGUAGAGAUUUUUAUCAGAAACAAAUGGAAAGCGUAACGCGUGAAGCAGAAGAAGGUUUAGCAGUUGCAGCUCUCGGCUCUCUCUUCAAACUUACCGAAGUUCAUCUUUCAGAUUAUUCGUCAUGGCAAAUGCAAGAAGCGCAGAUUUUUCUGGAAUCUGCG